rnacentral:rRNA from 1 species
UACAGAGGUCCCGAGCGUUGUUCGGAUUCACUGGGCGUAAAGGGUGCGUAGGUGGUGAGGUAAGUCGGAUGUGAAAUCUCCGGGCUCAACCCGGAAAUGGCAUUGGAAACUACCUUGCUGGAGGAUUUGAGGGGGGGAUUGGAAUACUUGGUGUAGCAGUGAAAUGCGUAGAUAUCAAGUGGAACACCAGUGGCGAAGGCGAAUCCCUGGAAAAUACCUGACACUGAGGCACGAAAGCUAGGGGAGCAAAACAGG